rnacentral:rRNA from 1 species
GUCCUGGCUCAGGAUGAACGCUAGCGACAGGCUUAACACAUGCAAGUCGAGGGGCAGCGGGGAGUAGCAAUACUUCGCCGGCGACCGGCGCACGGGUGAGUAACACGUGUGCAACCAACCCCGUACCGGGAGAUAACCCGCGGAAACGUGGACUAACAUCCCAUGAGACUCUAGAGCCGCAUGGCUCUAGAUUUAAAAUUCCGGUGGUACGGGACGGGCACGCGCGACAUUAGGUAGUUGGCGGGGUAACGGCCCACCAAGCCG